GAUCAUGGCUACAGAGCGAACGUUUGCGGCGGGCCUAACACAUGCAAGUCGAACGCACUAGCAAUAGUGAGUGGCGCACGGGUGCGUAACACGUGGGUAAUCAACCCUUCAGCUUGGGAUAACGACUUGAAAGGGUCGCUAAUACCGGAUACGGCGCGGGAGGCUUCGGCUUCUCACGAGAAAGCCUCGCAAGGGGCACUGAAGGACGAGCCUGCGGCCCAUCAGCUAGUUGGUGAGGUAAGAGCUCACCAAGGCGAAGACGGGUAGCGGGUCUGAGAGGAUGAUCCGCCACACUGGGACUGAGACACGGCCCAGACUCCUACGGGAGGCAGCAGUGGGGAAUUUUGGACAAUGGGCGCAAGCCUGAUCCAGCCAUGCCGCGUGAGUGAAGAAGGCCUUCGGGUUGUAAAGCUCUUUCGGUUGGGGAAGAAAUUGCUUCGGUUAAUACCUGGAGUAGAUGACGGUACCCGCAUAAGAAGCACCGGCUAACUACGUG
rnacentral:rRNA from 1 species